rnacentral:rRNA from 10 species
AGAUCGUAGGCUGCAACUCGCCUACGUGAAGGAGGAAUCGCUAGUAAUCGCAGGUCAGCAUACUGCGGUGAAUACGUUCCCGGGCCUUGUACACACCGCCCGUCACACCAUGGAAGUUGGCCACGCCCGAAGCCGUUACUCCAACCCUUGUGGAGGAGGAUGUCGAAGGUGGGGCUGAUGACUGGGGUGAAGUCGUAACAAGGUAGCCGUACCGGAAGGUGCGGCUGGAUCACCUCCUAA